rnacentral:rRNA from 1 species
ACGUAGGGUGCGAGCGUUAAUCGGAAUUACUGGGCGUAAAGCGUGCGCAGGCGGCUAUGCAAGACAGGUGUGAAAUCCCCGGGCUUAACCUGGGAACUGCACUUGUGACUGCAUGGCUUGAGUGCGGCAGAGGGGGGUGGAAUUCCACGUGUAGCAGUGAAAUGCGUAGAUAUGCGGAGGAACACCGAUGGCGAAGGCAAUCCCCUGGGCCUGCACUGACGCUCAUGCACGAAAGCGUGGGGAGCAAACAG